UCAAUCUCGUGUGGCUAAGCGCCACUUGUCCCUCUAAGAAGUCAGCGUCGGUAGCUUCCGAUAUGGAGUACAACCGACGGACUAUUUAGCAGGCUAGAGUCUCGUUCGUUAU
rnacentral:rRNA from 1 species